rnacentral:rRNA from 1 species
UACGGAGGGAGCUAGCGUUGUUCGGAAUUACUGGGCGUAAAGCGCGCGUAGGCGGCUUUGUAAGUUAGAGGUGAAAGCCCGGGGCUCAACCCCGGAAUUGCCUUUAAGACUGCAUCGCUAGAAUCCGGGAGAGGUGAGUGGAAUUCCGAGUGUAGAGGCGAAAUUCGUAGAUAUUCGGAAGAACACCGGUGGCGAAGGCGGCCAUCUGGACCGCAACUGACGCUGAGGCGCGAAAGCGUGGGGAGCAAACAGG